GCAUAUAGUGCAAUAAUGGUUUCAGGAGUAGAAUCCAGUGAUUCAUCCCCUACAUAUAACACACAGUGCUCUUUCCAACAAGUGUCCUCCUUAAUGAUCCUUGCCCAUUUAACCCAACCCCCCACCUAUGACCCCUCCAGCAACCCUGUUUGUUCUCUAUAUUUAAGAUUCUCUUAUGUUUUUAC